ACUACCCGCGUACGUCCGAGGGUAGUAAACGCUGCAGACGUUGGUUGGUUCGGGUACCCGUUCGGGGGUGUUCAGUGCCGGAGAGAAGUUGUUAAGUCUGCUACUUGGGGAGUACGUCCGCAAGGAUGAAACUUAAAGGAAUUGGCGGGGGAGCACCGCAACGGGAGGAACGUGCGGUUUAAUUGGAUUCAACACCGGAAACUCACCAGCAGCGACUGUUACAUGAAAGUCAGGCCGAUGACCUUACUAGAUUUUCAG
rnacentral:rRNA from 1 species